UACAGAGGUCUCAAGCGUUGUUCGGAUUCAUUGGGCGUAAAGGGUGCGUAGGCGGCGCGGUAAGUCGGGGUGUGAAAUCUUGGAGCUUAACUCCGAAACUGCAUUCGAUACUGCCGUGCUUGAGGACUGGAGAGGAGACUGGAAUUUACGGUGUAGCGGUGAAAUGCGUAGAUAUCGUAAGGAAGACCAGUGGCGAAGGCGGGUCUCUGGACAGUUCCUGACGCUGAAG
rnacentral:rRNA from 1 species